CUUGUUAAUGGGACAACAGCAAUGGAUGUUGCGUGCACGGCAUCUUUUUGGUAGCUUGUCAACCUAUAUGGCUAUAUGCAUGCCCUAGCAACCAUUGGAACUCCAGCCAGCUAGCCAGCUAUGUGAUGCAUGGCAAGGAGCGAGAGCUAGCUCUGCUUCUGAAAAAAGGCCGGCCAUCCCUUGGGCCACACCUUGCAGAUCGACUACUACGU
rnacentral:lncRNA from 1 species